AGACCCGAAACCCGGUGAUCUAGCCAUGGGCAGGUUGAAGGUUGGGUAACACUAACUGGAGGACCGAACCGACUAAUGUUGAAAAAUUAGCGGAUGACCUGUGGCUGGGGGUGAAAGGCCAAUCAAACCGGGAGAUAGCUGGUUCUCCCCGAAAGCUAUUUAGGUAGCGCCUCGUGAAUUCAUCUCCGGGGGUAGAGCACUGUUUCGGCUAGGGGGCCAUCCCGGCUUACCAACCCGAUGCAAACUGCGAAUACCGGAGAAUGUUAUCACGGGAGACACACGGCGGGUGCUAACGUCCGUCGUGAAGAGGGAAACAACCCAGACCGCCAGCUAAGGUCCCAAAGUCAUGGUUAAGUGGGAAACGAUGUGGGAAGGCCCAGACAGCCAGGAUGUUGGCUUAGAAGCAGCCAUCAUUUAAAGAAAGCGUAAUAGCUCACUGGUCGAGUCGGCCUGCGCGGAAGAUGUAACGGGGCUAAACCAUGCACCGAAGCUGCGGCAGCGACACUCAGGUGUUGUUGGGUAGGGGAGCGUUCUGUAAGCCUGUGAAGGUGGCCUGUGAGGGUUGCUGGAGGUAUCAGAAGUGCGAAUGCUGACAUAAGUAACGAU
rnacentral:rRNA from 1 species